GAAAGAAGUCAAAGAACACAAUACUUAAUAUGGAGCCGGUGGGAGGCGACGGUGGCUAGCAACGGGGAGUCCGGGAGGCGCUGGCCGCUGGAGAGUGGCGACGGUGGAUGGGACAAGCAAGCGGGAGGAUGGGGACGACAGGGACUGGAUCUAGAGGAGAGGCGACGUCGUAGGAGGCACUGGCCGCUGGCGAGUGGCAAUGGUCGUUGGAUGCGCUGGCGCUGGUCGCUGGAGAGACGGCGUCGCAGGAGGCGCUGGCCGCCGGAGGAGAGGCGGCGUCGUAGGAUGGCACAUGGCAGGCAGGAGGCACUGCGACGGGCAGUUGACGGGGUAGUCGCGGCGCUACGGCGGUGGCGUCGCGCAUGUGUGGCGCCGGGACGGGGACUGGCCUGUGCGGCGCACGUGUGCGUCGGGACUGUGGCGCAAUGGUGGCGCCGACGCGUGUGA
rnacentral:lncRNA from 1 species